CUGAUCAUGGCUCAGAUUGAACGCUGGCGGGAUGCUUUACACAUACAAGUCGAACGGCAGCACGGACUUCGGUCUGGUGGCGAGUGGCGAACGGGUGAGUAAUGUAUCGGAACGUGCCUAGUAGCGGGGGAUAACUACGCGAAAGCGUAGCUAAUACCGCAUACGCCCUUCGAGGAAAGCGGGGACCUUCGGGCCUCGCGCUAAUGGAAGCGGCCGAUAUCGGAUUAGCUAGUUGGUGGGGUAACGGCUCGCAAGGCGACGAUCCGUAGCUGGUUUGAGAGGACGACCAGCCACACUGGGACUGAGACACGGCCCAGACUCCUACAGGAGGCAGCAGUGGGGGAAUUUUGGACAAUGGAAACCUGAUCCCAGCCAUCCCGCGUGUGCGAUGAAGGCCUUCGGGUUGUAAGCACUUUUGGCAGGAAAGAAACGGCACGGGAUGUACGUGCAACUGACGGUACCUGCAGAAUAAGCACCGGCUAACUACGUGCCAGCAGCCGCAGUAAUACGUGGUGCAAGCGUUAAUCAGGAAUUACUGGGCGUAAAGCGUGCGCAGGCGGUUCGGAAAGAAAGAUGUAGAAAUCCCAGAGCUUAACUUUGGAACUGCAUUUUAACUACCGAGCUAGAAGAGAGAGUGUGUCAGAGGAGGUGGAAUUCCGCAUUGUAGCAGUGAAAUACGUAUUAGAUAUGCGGAGGAACACCGAUGGCGAAGGCAGCCUCCUGGGAUAACACUGACGCUCAUGCACGAAAAGCAGUAAGGGAGCAAACAGGAUUAGAUACCCUGGUAGUCCACGCCCUAAACGAUGUGUCAACUAGCUGUUGGGGCCUUCGGGCCUUGGUAGCGCAGCUAACGCGUGAAGUUGACCGCCUGGGAGAUGCAGUCGCAAGAUUAAAACUCAAAGAAAUUGACGGGGACCCGCACAAGCGGUGGAUGAUGUGGAUUAAUUCGAUGCAACGCGAAAAACCUUACCUACCCUUGACAUAUCUGGAAUCCCGAAGAGAUUUGGGAGUGCUCGCAAGAGAACCGGAACACAGGUGCUGCAUGGCUGUCGUCAGCUCGUGUCGUGAGAUGUUGGGUUAAGUCCAUAACGAGCGCAGCCUUCCAUGUUCGAUUUGCUACGAGGGCACUCUAAUGGUUCACGCAGUGCGACAAGCGGAGGAAGGUGGGGAUGACGUCAAGUCCUCAUGGCCCUUAUGGGUAGGGCUUCACGUCAUACAAUGGUCGGGACAGAGGGUCGCCAACCCGCGAGGGCCAAUCCAGGAAACCCGAUCGUAGUCCGGAUCGCAGUCUGCAACUCGACUGCGUGAAGUCGGAAUCGCUAGUAAUCGCGGAUCAGCAUGUCGCGUUGAAUGCAAUUCCCGGGUCUUGUACCGCCCGUCACCAUGGGAGUGGGUUUUACCAAGUAGUUAGCCUAACCGCAAGGGGGGCGAUUACCACGGUAGGAUUCAUGACUGGGGUGAAGUCGUAACAAGGUAACCGUCCAGGGU
rnacentral:rRNA from 1 species